UACGUAGGGUGCGAGCGUUGCCCGGAAUCACUGGGCGUAAAGCGCACGUAGGCGGAUUGCUAAGUCAGGGGUGAAAUCCUGGAGCUCAACUCCAGAACUGCCUUUGAUACUGGCGAUCUUGAGUCCGGGAGAGGUGAGUGGAACUGCGAGUGUAGAGGUGAAAUUCGUAGAUAUUCGCAAGAACACCAGUGGCGAAGGCGGCUCACUGGCCCGGUACUGACGCUGAGGUGCGAAAGCGUGGGGAGCAAACAGG
rnacentral:rRNA from 1 species